AGUGAACGCUGGUGGUAGGCCUAACACAUGCAAGUCGAACGGCAGCACAGUAAGAGCUUGCUCUUACGGGUGGCGAGUGGCGGACGGGUGAGGAAUACAUCGGAAUCUACUUUUUCGUGGGGGAUAACGUAGGGAAACUUACGCUAAUACCGCAUACGACCUACGGGUGAAAGCAGGGGAUCUUCGGACCUUGCGCGAUUGAAUGAGCCGAUGUCGGAUUAGCUAGUUGGCGGGGUAAAGGCCCACCAAGGCGACGAUCCGUAGCUGGUCUGAGAGGAUGAUCAGCCACACUGGAACUGAGACACGGUCCAGACUCCUACGGGGGGCAGCAGUGGGGAAUAUUGGACAAUGGGCGCAAGCCUGAUCCAGCCAUACCGCGUGGGUGAAGAAGGCCUUCGGGUUGUAAAGCCCUUUUGUUGGGAAAGAAAAGCAGCAGGUUAAUACCCCGCUGUUCUGACGGUACCCAAAGAAUAAGCACCGGCUAACUUCGUG
rnacentral:rRNA from 1 species